rnacentral:rRNA from 1 species
AAAUUGAAGAGUUUGAUCAUGGCUCAGAUUGAACGCUGGCGGCAGGCCUAACACAUGCAAGUCGAACGGUAACAGGAAACAGCUUGCUGUUUCGCUGACGAGUGGCGGACGGGUGAGUAAUGUCUGGGAAACUGCCUGAUGGAGGGGGAUAACUACUGGAAACGGUAGCUAAUACCGCAUAACGUCGCAAGACCAAAGAGGGGGACCUUCGGGCCUCUUGCCAUCGGAUGUGCCCAGAUGGGAUUAGCUUGUUGGUGGGGUAACGGCUCACCAAGGCGACGAUCCCUAGCUGGUCUGAGAGGAUGACCAGCCACACUGGAACUGAGACACGGUCCAGACUCCUACGGGAGGCAGCAGUGGGGAAUAUUGCACAAUGGGCGCAAGCCUGAUGCAGCCAUGCCGCGUGUAUGAAGAAGGCCUUCGGGUUGUAAAGUACUUUCAGCGGGGAGGAAGGGAGUAAAGUUAAUACCUUUGCUCAUUGACGUUACCCGCAGAAGAAGCACC